rnacentral:rRNA from 1 species
CCUACGGGUGGCAGCAGUGAGGAAUAUUGGUCAAUGGGCGCGAGCCUGAACCAGCCAAGUCGCGUGAGGGAAGACGGCCCUACGGGUUGUAAACCUCUUUUGCCGGGGAGCAACGGGCGCCACGUGUGGCGCCACUGAGAGUACUCGGAGAAAAAGCAUCGGCAAACUCCGUGCCAGAAGCCGCGGUAAUACGGAGGAUGCGAGCGUUAUCCGGAUUUAUUGGGUUUAAGGGGGGCGAAGGUGGAGAGUUAAGUCGGUGGUCAAAUUGAUGGGCUCAACCCCUUCCCGCCAUUGAAACUGGCGCUCUUGAGUGGAAGAGAAGUAUGCGGAAUGCGUGGUGUAGCGGUGAAAUGCAUAGAUAUCACGCAGAACCCCGAUUGCGAAGGCAGCAUGCCGGCUUCCUACUGACGCUGAAGCACGAAAGCGUGGGGAUCGAACAGGAUUAGAUACCCGAGUAGUC